rnacentral:rRNA from 1 species
UACAGAGGUCUCAAGCGUUGUUCGGAUUCAUUGGGCGUAAAGGGUGUGUAGGUGGCGCCGUAAGUCGGGUGUGAAAUUUCGGAGCUUAACUCCGAAACUGCAUUCGAUACUGCGGUGCUUGAGGACUGGAGAGGAGACUGGAAUUCAUGGUGUAGCAGUGAAAUGCGUAGAGAUCAUGAGGAAGACCAGUGGCGAAGGCGGGUCUCCGGACAGUUCCUGACACUGAGGCGCGAAAGCGUGGGGAGCAAACAGG